CCUAUGGGGGAAAGAUUUAUCGCCUUGGGACGAGCCCGCGUCCGAUUAGCUAGUUGGUGAGGUAACGGCUCACCAAGGCUACGAUCGGUAGCUGGUCUGAGAGGAUGACCAGCCACACUGGAACUGAGAUACGGUCCAGACUCCUACGGGAGGCAGCAGUGGGGAAUAUUGGGCAAUGGAGGCAACUCUGACCCAGCCAUGCCGCGUGGGUGACGAAGGUCUUCGGAUUGUAAAGCCCUUUCGGCGGGGACGAUGAUGACGGUACCCGCAGAAGAAGCCCCGGCUAACUUCGUGCCAGCAGCCGCGGUAAUACGAAGGGGGCUAGCGUUGUUCGGAAUUACUGGGCGUAAAGGGCGUGUAGGCGGCCCGCUAAGUCAGGUGUGAAAGGCCUGGGCUCAACCCAGGAAAUGCGCCUGA
rnacentral:rRNA from 1 species